UACGUAGGGUGCGAGCGUUAAUCGGAAUUACUGGGCGUAAAGUGUGCGCAGGUGGCCGCGCAAGUCGAGUGUGAAAUCCCCGAGCUUAACUUGGGAAUUGCGCUCGAAACUACGUGGCUCGAGUGUGGCAGAGGAAGGUGGAAUUCCACGUGUAGCGGUGAAAUGCGUAGAUAUCUGGAGGAAUACCGGUGGCGAAGGCGGCAUCCUGGACCGACAUUGACGCUGAGGAGCGAAAGCUAGGGGAGCAAACGGG
rnacentral:rRNA from 1 species